rnacentral:rRNA from 1 species
GACGAACGCUGGCGGCGUGCUUAACACAUGCAAGUCGAACGGAAAGGCCCUGCUUUUGUGGGGUGCUCGAGUGGCGAACGGGUGAGUAACACGUGAGUAACCUGCCCUUGACUUUGGGAUAACUUCAGGAAACUGGGGCUAAUACCCGAUAGGAGCUCCUGCUGCAUGGUGGGGGUUGGAAAGUUUCGGCGGUUGGGGCUGGACUCGCGGCUUAUCAGCUUGUUGGUGAGGUAGUGGCUUACCAAGGCUUUGACGGGUAGCCGGCCUGAGAGGGUGACCGGCCACAUUGGGACUGAGAUACGGCCCAGACUCCUACGGGAGGCAGCAGUGGGGAAUAUUGCACAAUGGGCGGAAGCCUGAUGCAGCAACGCCGCGUGCGGGAUGACGGCCUUCGGGUUGUAAACCGCUUUCGCCUGUGACGAAGCGUGAGUGACGGUAAUGGGUAAAGAAGCACCGGCUAACUACGUG